AACGAACGCUGGCGGCAUGCCUAACACAUGCAAGUCGAACGAUUGCCUUCGGGUGAUAGUGGCGCACGGGUGCGUAACGCGUGGGAAUCUGCCCUUAGGUUCGGAAUAACAGCUGGAAACGGCUGCUAAUACCGGAUGAUAUCGCGAGAUCAAAGAUUUAUCGCCUGAGGAUGAGCCCGCGUUGGAUUAGGUAGCUGGUGGGGUAAAGGCCUACCAAGCCGACGAUCCAUAGCUGGUCUGAGAGGAUGAUCAGCCACACUGGGACUGAGACACGGCCCAGAAUCCUACGGGAGGGAGCAGUGGGGAAUAUUGGACAAUGGGCGCAAGCAUGAUCCAGCAAUGCCGCGUGAGUGAUGAAGGCCCUAGGGUUGUAAAGCUCUUUUACCCGGGAAGAUAAUGACUGUACCGGGAGAAUAAGCCCCGGCUAACUCCGUG
rnacentral:rRNA from 1 species